GACGAACGCUGGCGGCGUGCUUAACACAUGCAAGUCGAACGAUGAUGCUGGAGCUUGCUCCAGUUGAUUAGUGGCGAACGGGUGAGUAACACGUGAGCAAUCCGCCCUUGACUCUGGGAUAACUGCGGGAAACUGUAGCUAAUACCGGAUACUUUCACCGGAAGGCAUCUUCUGGUGAUGAAAGAAUUUCGGUCAGGGAUGAGCUCGCGGCCUAUCAGCUUGUUGGUGAGGUAACGGCUCACCAAGGCGACGACGGGUAGCCGGCCUGAGAGGGUGACCGGCCACACUGGGACUGAGACACGGCCCAGACUCCUACGGGAGGCAGCAGUGGGGAAUAUUGCACAAUGGGCGCAAGCCUGAUGCAGCAACGCCGCGUGAGGGAUGAAGGCCUUCGGGUUGUAAACCUCUUUUAGCAGGGAAGAAGUGAAAGUGACGGUACCUGCAGAAAAAGCACCGGCUAACUACGUGCCAGCCGCCGCCGUAA
rnacentral:rRNA from 1 species